UACGGAGGGGACUAGCGUUGUUCGGAAUUACUGGGCGUAAAGCGCACGUAGGCGGAUUUGUAAGUCAGGGGUGAAAUCCCGGGGCUCAACCUCGGAACUGCCUUUGAUACUGCAAAUCUCGAGUCCGGAAGAGGUGAGUGGAAUUCCUAGUGUAGAGGUGAAAUUCGUAGAUAUUCGGAGGAACACCAGUGGCGAAGGCGGCUCACUGGCUCGGUACUGACGCUGAGGUGCGAAAGCGUGGGGAGCAAACAGG
rnacentral:rRNA from 1 species